GACGAACGCUGGCGGCGUGCUUAACACAUGCAAGUCGAGCGGGAAACUUCGGUUUCCAGCGGCGGACGGGUGAGUAACACGUGGGCAACCUGCCUCACAAUGAGGGAUAGCCCUCCGAAAGGAGGAUUAAUACCUCAUAACACAAGAGAAACGCAUGUUUCUCUUGCCAAAGAAUUUCGUUGUGAGAUGGGCCCGCGGCGCAUUAGCUUGUUGGUGAGGUAACGGCUCACCAAGGCUUCGAUGCGUAGCCGACCUGAGAGGGUGAUCGGCCACAUUGGAACUGAGACACGGUCCAGACUCCUACGGGAGGCAGCAGUGGGGAAUAUUGCACAAUGUAGGAAACUCUGAUGCAGCAACGCCGCGUGAGUGAUGAAGGUCUUCGGAUUGUAAAGCUCUGUCUUCUGGGACGAUAAUGACGGUACCAGAGGAGGAAGCCACGGCUAACUACGUGCCAGCCGCCGCAGUAACAC
rnacentral:rRNA from 1 species